UUCCAAGAUCCGGUUGCGGUUAUAGUUCUUAUACUCAAUCAUACACAUGACAUAUAGUCAUAUUUCACUCCAAAACACUAACU
rnacentral:sRNA from 1 species